CAAAACUUUCAACAACGGAUCUCUUGGUUCUGGCAUCGAUGAAGAACGCAGCAAAAUGCGAUAAGUAAUGUGAAUUGCAGAAUUCAGUGAAUCAUCGAAUCUUUGAACGCACAUUGCGCCCGCCAGUAUUCUGGCGGGCAUGCCUGUUCGAGCGUCAUUUCA
rnacentral:rRNA from 1 species